rnacentral:rRNA from 1 species
AGAGUUUGAUCAUGGCUCAGGAUGAACGCUGGCGGCGUGCCUAACACAUGCAAGUCGAGCGAUCUUCUUCGGAAGAGAGCGGCGGACGGGUGAGUAACGCGUGGGUAACCUGCCUCAUACACAUGGAUAACAUACCGAAAGGUAUGCUAAUACAAGAUGAUAUAAGAGAUUCGCAUGGAUUUCUUAUCAAAGCUCCGGCGGUAUGAGAUGGACCCGCGUCUGAUUAGCUAGUUGGUAAGGUAACGGCUUACCAAGGCGACGAUCAGUAGCCGACCUGAGAGGGUGAUCGGCCACAUUGGAACUGAGACACGGUCCAAACUCCUACGGGAGGCAGCAGUGGGGAAUAUUGCACAAUGGGCGAAAGCCUGAUGCAGCAACGCCGCGUGAGCGAUGAAGGCCUUCGGGUCGUAAAGCUCUGUCCUCAAGGAAGAUAAUGACGGUACUUGAGGAGGAAGCCCCGGCUAACUACGUGCCAGCAGCCGCGGUAAUACGUAGGGGGCUAGCGUUAUCCGGAUUUACUGGGCGUAAAGGGUGCGUAGGUGGUUUCUUAAGUCAGGAGUGAAAGGCUACGGCUCAACCGUAGUAAGCUCUUGAAACUGGGAAACUUGAGUGCAGGAGAGGAAAGUGGAAUUCCUAGUGUAGCGGUGAAAUGCGUAGAUAUUAGGAGGAACACCAGUAGCGAAGGCGGCUUUCUGGACUGUAACUGACACUGAGGCACGAAAGCGUGGGGAGCAAACAGGAUUAGAUACCCUGGUAGUCCACGCCGUAAACGAUGAGUAUCUAGGUGUCGGGGGUUACCCCCCUCGGUGCCGCAGCU